CAGCAACUGCUUCCCGCCUGGGUGGACUCGCGGACCCACGCCUCCAGCUAUAAAACUGAAAAAACAACCACGAUUUUCUUUCGGAGUCUGUUGUGUGUAGGACUCCGUGCCCGAAAUGUGAAGAAUUCAAGCAUGAAUACUGAAGUUAAGGGCCAGGAUGGAGUUUCUCCAGUUGCUGCAGCAAAAUAGCAUCAAGAACUUCUGAGAAUUGAGAACAUACUUGGCCUGUAGGCAAAGCAAGCUAAACAUUUCAGAGGUUUAAUGUCACAAGAAGCUGUCCUG